rnacentral:lncRNA from 1 species
UGAAAACUGUUUCUAGUUAAAUGUUAAAAUUGAAAACAAGGGUUAAAAACAUGCUCCAUGGGUAAAAAUUAGGACUAAACUGAAAAUCAAAUUUCCAUGGAUUAAAAAUGGUUUUUUAUUUUUAUUUUUUUAUGAUAAGCGAUAGAAUAUUAUUGAUGUAAAAAAGGUAAUACAAGAAGUUUGAACUCGUAUCAAGGGCAAAAGAAAUUCCUCGGUCACGAAUUACAAUCUUCGUACAAUAUGUCAGAAAUAAAAUCAGGAGGUUCCUCGAACCAGUAUAAAGAACCCCCAAUAUGCAAGGCAAAACGGGCUAAACGAUGAGCCACACCAUUAGCAGUACGACGAAUAUGGGUAAAACCUUCCCCAGUGAUCUGUGUCAGCAAGCUCUUGGUAUCC